AUCGAGUGGCGAACGGGUGAGUAACGCGUGAAUAACCUGACCCGAAGAGGGGGAUAACACCUGGAAACAAGUGCUAAUACCGCAUAAGACCACGGACCGGCAUCGGUCAGAGGUCAAAGGAGAAAUCCGCUUUGGGAGGGGUUCGCGUCCCAUUAGGUAGUUGGUGAGGUAACGGCCCACCAAGCCGACGAUGGGUAGCCGAGCUGAGAGGCUGAUCGGCCACACUGGAACUGAGACACGGUCCAGACUCC
rnacentral:rRNA from 1 species